GCCAAACGUGAGCCUGGCGAGAUACCCAUCCAUGCCUACACUAUAGAGCCCUUACCCAAUGGAGACAUUGCACUGAAAGUAGAGAUCCCCCAAGAUGGAGCCUGCAAGUUGCAAAGAAUUGUUGUGACCAAGGUGCAGAAUGGGGUCUUCCAGUCCCCAGAUGGCCAGGGGCCUGUGACUUUGGUGGACACUGACUACGACACGUACUACGUCGGCCACUUCCUCAAGCGGGGCACCCACCUUCUCCAUUUGUACG